rnacentral:rRNA from 1 species
AAAAAAAAAAGGAAAUGCCCGAUCUCAUCUGAACUCGGAAGUAAAGCAGGGUCGGGCCUGGUUAGUACUUGGAUGGGAGAACGCCUGGGAAUACCAGGU